rnacentral:rRNA from 1 species
GUGUCAGCAGCCGCGGUAAUACGUAGGGUGCAAGCGUUGUCCGGAAUUACUGGGCGUAAAGAGUUCGUAGGCGGUUUGUCGCGUCGUUUGUGAAAACUCACAGCUCAACUGUGAGCCUGCAGGCGAUACGGGCAGACUUGAGUACUGCAGGGGAGACUGGAAUUCCUGGUGUAGCGGUGAAAUGCGCAGAUAUCAGGAGGAACACCGGUGGCGAAGGCGGGUCUCUGGGCAGUAACUGACGCUGAGGAACGAAAGCGUGGGUAGCAAACAGGAUUAGAUACCCUGGUAGUCC